GACGAACGCUGGCGGCGUGCCUAACACACGCAAGUCGAGCGGGAACCUCAGGAGGGGUAACCCUCCUGAGGGGAGAGCGGCGAACGGGUGAGUAACACGUGGGCAACCUGCCCCGGACACCGGGAUAACCCAGGGAAACCUGAGCUAAUACCGGAUACUCCGGCGAGAUCGCAUGGUCGCGCCGGGAAAGCUCCGACGGUCCGGGAUGGGCCCGCGGCCUAUCAGCUUGUUGGUGGGGUAACGGCCCACCAAGGCGACGACGGGUAGCUGGUCUGAGAGGACGGCCAGCCACACUGGGACUGAGACACGGCCCAGACUCUUACGGGAGGCAGCAGUGGGGGAUCUUGCGCUAAUGCGCGAAAGCGUGACGCAGCGACGCCGCGUGGGGGAUGACGGCCUUCGGGUUGUAAACCUCUUUCGGCAGGGACGAAGCCUUUCGGGGUGACGGUACCUGCAGAAGAAGCGCCGGCCAACUACGUGCCAGCCGCCGCAGUAAUAC
rnacentral:rRNA from 1 species